rnacentral:lncRNA from 1 species
GGGGGGGGGAUGAAAUUUGAAAAAAAUAGCAGGACAGGAGUUUUGAGUAAAAAAAAAAGGCAGGAUGAGACACUUGCAAAAAAAAAAGUCAGGACGACAAUUUAGAUAAAAAAAGUCAGGAUAAACUAAAAAAAAAAGGCAGGACGAAACAGAGUGAAAAAUAAAAAGGCAGGACAGAGAUUACAGCUAAAAAAAAAUGCAGGACAAAAUUUUUCAUCCUAGCCCCCCCCCCC